CACAUGCUUUCUCAGAUUUCAAUUAAAUUCCUGUCCCCAUUUUUCACUUUUAUUUCUUUUUGUCCCUUGCAGGAAGAUGACCGGUGUGCUAGUUCAGGACUUAUGGAAACUAGAAAGGAUUGCAACUGCCAGCCUGGAGAACCAGGUUAUGCUGGCCUUCCUGGUCCAAAGGGUGAAAAAGGUGAUCAAGGUGCUCUAGGCUUCCCAGGAUUUCAAGGAAGA